GACGAACGCUGGCGGCGUGCUUAACACAUGCAAGUCGAACGCUGAAGCCCAGGUUUUGUUGGGUGGAUGAAUGGCGAACGGGUGAGUAACACGUGAGUAACCUGCCCCCCUCUUUGGGAUAACGCCCGGAAACGGGUGCUAAUACUGGAUAUUCAUUGGUCUUCGCAUGGGGGUUGGUGGAAAGGGUUUUUCUGGUGGGGGAUGGGCUCGCGGCCUAUCAGCUUGUUGGUGGGGUGAUGGCCUACCAAGGCUUUGACGGGUAGAGGGCCUGAGGGGGUGACCGGUCACAGAGGGACAGAGAUACGGCCCAGACUGCGACGGGAGGCAGCAGUGGGGAGGAGGGCGCAGUGGGCGCAAGCCUGAUGCGGCGGCGCGGCGUAAGGGAUCGAGGCCUGCGAGUUGUGAACCUCUUUCGCUCAUGGUCAAGCCGCAACAAUGGUUGUAGUGAGGGUAGUGGGUAAAGAAGCGCCGGCUAACUACGUG
rnacentral:rRNA from 1 species